AGAUCCCAUUCUCUCGCUCAUGGAACGGUUCAAGGCUGACCCUCGGCCGGAAAAGGUCAAUCUGAGCAUCGGCCUU
rnacentral:tRNA from 1 species